ACGUCAAGAUUAUACACUCACUCAGAUUGUUGUUGAUAGAGUCCAAACUGGAAGUGGUACAUACGAUGUGAUGUUUAUUGGAACUGAUCAUGGACAAGUUUUGAAAGUUGUGUUGUUUGUAGAAAAUGGACAGCAGAAGAGCAAUCUUAUUGAUGUAAUGUAUGUAGGGGAUCCCUCUGAUUCCAACCCAAUUGUCAGUCUGCAACUUAUUGUACUUGGAGAUACCAAGUCAAUCUUAGUUGGAACACCUACAUCUCUAGUCAAUCUUGACAUUCAACAAUGUAAAAACCUUUCAUCAUG
rnacentral:sRNA from 1 species